rnacentral:misc_RNA from 1 species
GUGAAUCAUCGAAUCUUUGAACGCACAUUGCGCUCCUUGGUAUUCCGGAGGGUAUGCCUAUUUGAGGGUCAUUUGAAAUAAUAUAAAUUGCAAGAUUUCUGGGGUUUUAAAAUGGUUUGUCCAUUUUUUGUGCUUGCCUAAAUUCCAAGACAAGCUCUUUUUCUUGGGUUGCGUGAUACUUUCAGUUAUCUCGUGACUUAACCAGGAUUCAUCAGUCGUUUUAUGAAUUUUUCAAGAGAUAAAAAGUUCGAUAGAUUUAC